GGAUGUGAGGGCUUCUGGCUGUGACAUCUGUCACCCAACUGAUCACCAGGAUUGAUUCGGUCGGUGGUCUGGCCAGGCCGCGUCCCCUCCCUCCAUCCCUCCCCUCACUGCUCUGUGUGCCGCCCUCCUGGCCCUCAUGGCCCUCUCGAAGCUGAGUGCUAGGUCCCCCCAUAGAGGAGGGCAGUGGAGGUUUCCUUGGUCAAGGGGAUCCGAGAAGCUGCACCCUCUGCCAGAACCUCCAAAUGAACUCUCAAGAAUAUAGCAGGUUUUUUUGUUGUUGAUGUUUUAAUCAGAUUAAGGAAGCUCCCUUCUAUUCAUCAUUUUCUAAGGUACUUUUUCAUGAAUGGGUGAUUCAUUUU
rfam:Fukomys damarensis contig115685, whole genome shotgun sequence.